rnacentral:rRNA from 1 species
CCUACGGGAGGCAGCAGUGAGGAAUAUUGGUCAAUGGGCGCUAGCCUGAACCAGCCAAGUAGCGUGAAGGAUGACUGCCCUACGGGUCGUAAACUUCUUUUAUAAAGGAAUAAAGUGAGGUACGUGUGCCGUUUUGUAUGUACUUUAUGAAUAAGGAUCGGCUAACUCCGUGCCAGCAGCCGCGGUAAUACGGAGGAUCCGAGCGUUAUCCGGAUUUAUUGGGUUUAAAGGGAGCGUAGAUGGGCUGUUAAGUCAGUUGUGAAAGUUUGCGGCUCAACCGUAAAAUUGCAAUUGAUACUGGCAGUCUUGAGUACAGUAGAGGUAGGCGGAAUUCGUGGUGUAGCGGUGAAAUGCUUAGAUAUCACGAAGAACUCCGAUUGCGAAGGCAGCUUACUAAACUGCCACUGACAUUGAUGCUCGAAAGUGUGGGUAUCAAACAGGAUUAGAUACCCUUGUAGUC